CAAGAGCGUAUAUUAAAGUUGCAGCAGUUUAAAAACUCGUAGUUGGAUUUUAGUCUAGGAAGGUUAACUCGUCGGAAGGUUGUACGUUGAUUUUCCUCAGAUUUCGUCAGAAGCUCGUGCUGCACUUAACUGUGUGGUACGAAGUUCUGACCUUUUACCUUGAGGAAAGUAGAUUGUUUCAGGCAGGCUACCCAGCUUGAAUACAUUAGCAUGGAAUAAUGAAAUGGAUCUCGGUUCGAUUUCGUUGGUUCUAGAGCUGAGGUGAUGAUCAAUAGGAACAGGCGAAGGUAUUCGUACUUGAGAGUGAGGAGUGAAAUCUGACAAUCUCUUAAAGACGAUCCGAGGCGAAAGCAGUUGUCAAGGAUGUUUUCAUUGAUCAAGAACGAAAGUUAGGGGAUCGAAGAUGAUUAGAUACCA
rnacentral:rRNA from 1 species